UAGAUACCCUGGUAGUCCUUGCCGUAAACUAUGUAUACUUGGUGUAGCUGGAAUCAACCCUGCUGUGCCGUAGCUAACGCGAUAAGUAUACCGCCUGGGGAGUACGCUCGCAAGGGUGAAACUCAAAAGAAUUGACGGGGACCCGCACAAGCAGUGGAGCAUGUGGUUUAAUUCGAUGCAACGCGAAGAACCUUACCCAGACUUGACAUACAGUGGAAUAUGGUAGAAAUAUCAUAGCCCUUCGGGGCCG
rnacentral:rRNA from 1 species